rnacentral:lncRNA from 1 species
UUCAGUGAAAUUUAGACUAUAGUGAUUUAUUAACUUUAACAACUUUUGCUUUUAUUUUUAUUAACAACCAUUUGUGUUAUUUAGGAUUCUAUUUAUUUUAAUUUCUUGUUAACUGAUCUUUUGAAUAUAUCUUAGUACUAUCAUAAUAGGUAUUCAGUAGACUUACUCAAUAUAGCCUCUUGUAGUUGCUGAGAUAUGGAAUAUGGAUAUGAAAGACAGCAUUGAGGGUUGACUUUUAUAGUGUAUAUUCUGAAAAGUAACUUGAAAGAAAAAUACAUGCUUCACUGUUUGUGUUUUGUUAUUGUGUUACUUUUAAGAAAAAAAAAAAUCAAACUCCAACCUAAGAAAAAUAAUGAAAAAACACUUUAACUUUUCAGUGUUUUUUCCAGGUAAAUCAGAAGACUGAAGCACGACAUAUACUCACCUUAGUCCAUAAGCACUUCUGUACUAGACUGUGUAAGUCUCAUACGCCUUCUCAUGGUACUGUUAUUUAAAUUGGUCACUUAAUUAUUCUGGUAAGAAUUGUUUAUUUUCUGAUGAGAAUAGAUAUAAUGUGGAUUGUUUUCUUCCAACUAAAUUAAAAAAAAUUUUUUUUUCCUUUUUAAGAUAGGGUCUUGGUAUCUAUAUCUAUAUCUGUAUCUAUAUCUGUAUCCUAGGGUAUCCUUGAACUUAUGUUUCUCCUGCCUCAGCCUGAGUUCUGGAGUGAUAGGUGUGUAUCACCUAUCUUUUGUCUUCUUUUAACUUUUGGCUUUUAGCUUUUGUUUUAAAAGCAUGAUUUAGCAAAUCAUUGAAUUUACUUGAAAAGUAUUCUAUUGAAGGCAUCUUAAGAUUUUAAUAUAUAUAAGCUUCUUUUCUUUUUUCUCAAAAGGUUUUAGAUGCUUAGGAAGGUAGGCAUGAAGGAACAGCUAGCUGUAAUGAAAGUAUGUGAGUAGCCAAAAACCAACAACAACAACAACAAAAUAGAAAUAGUGUUACAGGUGUAAGUGUUACAGCUCUCAGGGGAAAGGUAUCAUGGCAGUUGGGAGCUACAGAGUACCACAAAGUCAAGAUGCACAACAAUCCUCAUACAAGAGAUUUAUUGGGAGAAACAUAGGAGGGUGGCUGCCUCUUCUUGGGAGCAGCUGGGUCUCACGGAGCUGGGCCCAGCCAUCAUGGCCUUUAGAGUAUUCUGGGGGUUGGGGACUGGUGGAUCGAGGUCUCCUCGGCCUGGCCACUUGUGUGCCUUGAGGGGCUUACAAUAAUUGUAAGGGACGAACUUUAUCUAUUUUGCAGUAGUACACAUCUUUACUUAUAUUACAAAUGUGAGCUCUAAACAUGAGGCUUAAAUGCAUUACUCCCAAAGAAAGCAAAAUUGUUGAUUUAGGACAUUUAAUUGUAAGAUUUUACUCUUAAAUGAACUCAAUAAAUUUUAGCCUAUACUAAUCUGUCAUAUACUUUACUUUGAAUUUCAAUCGAAUGUUAAAGAAUUUUGUGAUGCUGGAGAGAUUUUUGUCCAUUUUAAACAGAUAUUUAUUUAUUUAUGUACAAGGCUGUGAAUUGGGAAAUAUAAAAAGUCAAGUAACAAGUCACUGUCCUUGAAUAGUUUAGAUCUGCUGUGGGAAAAAAAUCAGUUAUUCAUUGGAGUUGAUAUGUUACUUCACCUAUAAAGGAAUAAUUCAUACUGUCAGUGGAUUUUUAAUCAUUCCUACCAUGGUAAGCCUAAUAAACAGGGGCCUGGGGUAAAGCUUAAUAGAUGAAGUGCCCGCUGUGUAAACAUGAGGACCUGAGUUCAGAUCUCUAGUACCCAUGUAAAACAUGCUGCAUAUAGUAGCUUAUAUCUGUAACUCCAGCAUUGGGGUCAGGAGCGGCAUAGAGACAGGAGGAUCUUGACUAUGACCACCCAUUCUGUCCAGUUAUUGGGCAUAGGAUUUCACUGACUUUUUUUUUUUUUGAGACAGGAUUUUUUUUGUGUAGCCCUGGCUGUCCUGGAAUUCACUCUGUAGAGCAGGCUGGCCUUGAACUCAGAAAUUCGCCUGCCUCUGUCUCCCAAGUGCUAGGAUUAAAGGUGUGAGCCACCAUGCCCGGCUGACAUUUAUUUUUAGUCUUUAAAAAAAGUUAGAAAAAUAUAGAACAAAAUUCUGGAUUGUGACCUCUGGGCUCCACAUACAUGGACUCACAUGCAGGUGUACUUACAUAUGU